rnacentral:rRNA from 1 species
GCUGCGGAGGGAUCAUUG